GGCACCCCGCCCCCCACCCCCCCUCCCCCGGCGCGCCGUGAUGACCGCCGUGGGGUAUCCCGCACACAGCAAACCGCGACGGAUUACAUGAAAUGGAAGGCGAGAUUCGCGGACUGCGACGGCAUUUCUAGAGCCCCUUACUCGCCGUACAGGAAUGCUAUUAAAAGGAUGGACAGAGGUGCCGUCUGCAACCCAUCCCCACUCUCCUCAGAUUCACCGAUUCAAUCACCCUCAUCCAUCUUAUUGGUAGGAUGCUCUCGCAUGAACUUGUGAACAACAUUCUUGGAGUGACUGAGUAAGCUUGGCGAACUUCCCUGACCAAUCAAAGGCCAUUUGAUUUGAGAGCUGGAGGAGACAAGAUCACGCAUGCUCUAUAUGCUGGAGGAGCAAGGCCAUCCAAGUAGAGCUGGUAUAUGCCCGAGGAGAUUCCGAAGGUCUUGGAAAUCAGCGGCGAGCGCAGCCUCAUCUACAACAUCUUCUCCUACCCCGUGUAUUAAUCACGGUUUUCUUUAUGGAGAACAGAGAACAAACACAAACAAAUCAGAUGGCACAUAAUGUUGCUCGCACACCAUGUGCAGACAUCUCAAACACCAUUAAUACAGGUGAUCAAAAUGGAUCAAACUCGUUACGACCAAUUGUUGAUGCUAAGGAACGUAAGAGGCAAAGAGAUAAGGAAAGAUAUGCCACGAUGUCUGAUGAACAGAAAAACGAGAAAAACAAAAAGCGUCGAGAAGCACGUCUACGGAAUAAAGAGUUGAAUAAGAAGCGUCCUGAAGCAAGUCAACGAAAUGAUUGCCAAAAUAUGAUGCCCAACGCGCCAAGAGGUGGAGACGAAAAAGUAAAUGUUGAUCCAGAUGAUGAUUCCGACUGGUUGCAUAUCAAUUAUACAUUACAGUCAAACGACAUUGAAGCAACGACAGAAGUUCUAACACCAGGCAGUGUGCACGAAAAUGUUGGCCACACACCUAAGCAUACUAGACAGAGGACCACCUACUUUAGCGAGC
rnacentral:misc_RNA from 1 species